UACAGACCCGCCUCCCGGGCGCUCAAUGGCAGCCUCUUCCUCCGCUCCCCCGACACCGCCUGCGCAACCGAGCGCAAGGCCCCUGCAGGGGCGUCCCGGCCCCGGCGGAAAGGACAGAGCGGGGCUGGCUCCAGCCACGAGCGGCUGUAGGACUGGAGGGCGACAAGCCCCAUUGUUUGAAGCGAGAACUCAGAGAGCAAUCGAGCAGUUAGUGAAACUCUUCUGCGGGCACCGUCAGCUGCUGGAGAUCAAGUCCAAUUGCUUUGGCAGAUGGUAAACCAGGGAUGGGCAAGAGGCUACCAGCAGGCCAGAUCCAGCCUUCCAAGACACCGGAUCCCAACUGCGGCCGCCUCGCUAAAACCCUUAAACAGAGAACAGCUCACACUUCUCCGAUUGGCCAAUCUCUCAGUUCCCAGCCAACAGGAGCUGAGAAUUUUUGCUGGGAGCAGGGGCAGUGUGGCUCUCCUUCCCCAGACCAGCAGUCUGCCUCAGGUUUCUGUAGGGUUGCCGGAGCCUUUUUGAAUCUGGAGGUUGCUGGCCAUGACAGCAGGACACCACAACACUCUAGCGUCCUGGCACCUGCCGGCGUCCCGCCCUCUGGUUCGCACCCCACCUCCUCGCGCUGGAGCUGCAUACAGGCAGCUGGGUGCUGAGAAUUGCUGCACUUCCCCCUUCCCGGCAGCGCUCUGCUCCUCCACCGUCCAGCGGAUCAGAUGGGGCCGCAUCGCCCGUAGUGCAGGCAUCGCCCGUAGUCAACGGCCCACCGGGCUAGUCCACCCCUGCACUCGCCAGCUGGUAAAAUCUAUUCGCCACGGGCAGGCGAGUGUAUUUGUCGAGCCCUGGCUACUACAAUAUGGAUGUGUACUAAUGACAUUUUCUAGAAGAAAUAGUACUCUGCAAAGAACUAAGCUUUUUGGAAAAUUUACAAAAAGCAUUAGCCUUUCGCAAGUUCAGAUGCACAUAAUUUUCUCAUUUUCA